rnacentral:snRNA from 3 species
UCCCACAGAGUUGAUUUCAUUACGUAUUAAUCUUUCGCCUUUUACUAAAGAUUACCGUGGAAUCGACUCAAACUGAAUGUGGCUUCAAACAAUUUCUGAAUCCUCCCUUUGGGAGGG